rnacentral:rRNA from 1 species
GAUCAUGGCUCAGGAUGAACGCUAGCUACAGGCUUAACACAUGCAAGGUCGAGGGGUAGCAUGGUCUUAGCUUGCUAAGGCCGAUGGCGACCGGCGCACGGGUGAGUAACACGUAUCCAACCUGCCGUCUACUCUUGGACAGCCUUCUGAAAGGAAGAUUAAUACAAGAUGGCAUCAUGAGUCCGCAUGUUCACAUGAUUAAAGGUAUUCCGGUAGACGAUGGGGA